rnacentral:rRNA from 1 species
UACGUAGGUGACAAGCGUUGUCCGGAUUUACUGGGCGUGAAGGGCGCGCAGGCGGUCGAUCAAGUCGAGUGUGAAAGCCCCCGGCUCAACUGGGGAGGGGCAUUCGAUACUGAUCGACUCGAAGGCAGGAGAGGGUAGUGGAAUUCCCGGUGUAGUGGUGAAAUGCGUAGAUAUCGGGAGGAACACCAGUGGCGAAGGCGACUACCUGGCCUGUUCUUGACGCUGAGGCGCGAAAGCUAGGGGAGCAAACGGG